rnacentral:rRNA from 1 species
ACUCAGGAAAAGAAUCUUAGUCCAACCUAAAGUUAUCAAAUAAAAUAUACUACUGCUUUAGAGUAACUCAAAUAAGGUACAGCCUAUUUGACACAGGACACAACCUCAAACAAUGGCUAACUCACAACACAUUUAAACUAAGUAGGCCUAAGAGCAGCCACCCUUAAAGAGCGUCAAAGCCUAAUUUUCCUUAUACUUAAUCCCACAACUCACAAAGAACCCUUCACCACUACUGAGUACUUCUAUACCACUAUAGAAAUUUUUAUGUUAAAACUAGUAACAAGAAGACACUUCUCUUCUAAUGCAAGCGUAAAUCAGAAUGGACCUCCCCACUGAUACUUAUACACCCUAACAGCAAACCCAUACUCUCGAAAAACCUGCCACUAUUAAUCGUCAACCUAACACAAGAGCAUUUCAAGAAAGAUUUAUCAAAAAAGAAGGAACUCGGCAAAUAUUGAUUCCGCCUGUUUACCAAAAACAUCGCCUCCUGAACAAACAUAGGAGGUCCGACCUGCCCAGUGAUAUCAAUUCAACGGCCGCGGUAUACUG